rnacentral:rRNA from 1 species
AGGAAUAUUGGUCAAUGGACGCGAGUCUGAACCAGCCAAGUAGCGUGAAGGAUGACUGCCCUAUGGGUUGUAAACUUCUUUUAUACGGGAAUAAAGUGAGGCACGUGUGCCUUUUUGUAUGUACCGUAUGAAUAAGGAUCGGCUAACUCCGUGCCAGCAGCCGCGGUAAUACGGAGGAUCCGAGCGUUAUCCGGAUUUAUUGGGUUUAAAGGGAGCGUAGGCGGACGCUUAAGUCAGUUGUGAAAGUUUGCGGCUCAACCGUAAAAUUGCAGUUGAUACUGGGUGUCUUGAGUACAGUAGAGGCAGGCGGAAUUCGUGGUGUAGCGGUGAAAUGCUUAGAUAUCACGAAGAACUCCGAUUGCGAAGGCAGCUUGCUGGACUGUAACUGACGCUGAUGCUCGAAAGUGUGGGUAUCAAACAGGAUUAGAUACCCUGGUAGUCCACACAGUAAACGAUGAAUACUCGCUGUUUGCGAUAUACAGUAAGCGGCCAAGCGAAAGCGUUAAGUAUUCCACCUGGGGAGUACGCCGGCAACGGUGAAACUCAAAGGAAUUGACGGGGGCCCGCACAAGCGGAGGAACAUGUGGUUUAAUUCGAUGAUACGCGAGGAACCUUACCCGGGCUUGAAUUGCAACUGAAUGAUGUGGAGACAUGUCAGCCGCAAGGCAGUUGUGAAGGUGCUGCAUGGUUGUCGUCAGCUCGUGCCGUGAGGUGUCGGCUUAAGUGCCAUAACGAGCGCAACCCUUAUCGAUAGUUACCAUCAGGUUAUGCUGGGGACUCUGUCGAGACUGCCGUCGUAAGAUGUGAGGAAGGUGGGGAUGACGUCAAAUCAGCACGGCCCUUACGUCCGGGGCUACACACGUGUUACAAUGGGGGGUACAGAAGGCAGCUACACGGCGACGUGAUGCUAAUCCCGAAAGCCUCUCUCAGUUCGGAUUGGAGUCUGCAACCCGACUCCAUGAAGCUGGAUUCGCUAGUAAUCGCGCAUCAGCCACGGCGCGGUGAAUACGUUCCCG